rnacentral:rRNA from 1 species
UACGUAGGGGGCUAGCGUUGUCCGGAAUCAUUGGGCGUAAAGCGCGCGUAGGCGGCCCGGUAAGUCCGCUGUAAAAGUCCAGGGCUCAACCCUGGAAAGCCGGUGGAUACUGUCGGGCUCGAGUCCGGAAGAGGCGAGUGGAAUUCCUGGUGUAGCGAUGGAAUGCGCAGAUAUCAGGAGGAACACCAAUAGCGAAGGCAGCUCGCUGGGACGGUACUGACGCUGAGGCGCGAAAGCGUGGGGAGCGAACAGG